rnacentral:antisense_RNA from 1 species
CUUCACCGAGCCGAGCCACAGCGGUCGGUCGGCGGGGCGGUCGCGGCCGUAGGUGGCGAGCAGCGCCUGCGCCUC